UACGAAGGGUGCAAGCGUUAAUCGGAAUUACUGGGCGUAAAGCGUGCGUAGAUGGUUCAUUAAGUCGGAUGUGAAAGCCCCGGGCUCAACCUGGGAACUGCAUCUGAUACUGGUGGACUAGAGUGUGAUAGAGGAUGGCGGAAUUCCCGGUGUAGCGGUGAAAUGCGUAGAGAUCGGGAGGAACAUCCGUGGCGAAGGCGGCCAUCUGGAUCAACACUGACGUUGAGGCACGAAAGCGUGGGGAGCAAACAGG
rnacentral:rRNA from 1 species